rnacentral:rRNA from 1 species
CAAUAGCGUAUAUUAAAGUUGUUGCGGUUAAAAGCUCGUAGUUGGAUUUCUGCCGAGGACGACCGGUCCGCCCUGUGGGUGAGCAUCUGGAUCGGCCUGGGCAUCUUCUUGGGGAACGUAGCUGCACUUGACUGUGUGGUGCGGUAUCCAGGACUUUUACCUUGAGGAAAUUAGAGUGUUUAAAGCAGGCAUUUGCUAUGAAUACAUUAGCAUGGAAUAAUAAUCUAGGACUUCGGUUCUAUUUUGUUGGUUUCUAGAUCUGAAGUAAUGAUUGAUAGGGAUAGUUGGGGGUGGCUAGUAUUAAGGGGCCGAGAGGUGAAAUUCUUGGAUUCUCUUAAGACUAACUUAUGCGAAAGCAUUCACCAAGGAUGUCUUCUUUAAUCAAGAACGAAAGUUGGGGGAUCGAAGACGAUCAGAUACCGU